AUUGAACGCUGGCGGCAUGCUUUACACAUGCAAGUCGAACGAGUGGCGAACGGGUGAGUAACAUAUCGGAACGUCCCCAGUAAUGGGGGAUAACUAAUCGAAAGAUUAGCUAAUACCGCAUAUUAUUCGAGCUGCCGAUAUCUGAUUAGCUGGUUGGUGGGGUAAAGGCCUACCAAGGCGACGAUCCGUAGCGGGUCUGAGAGGAUGAUCCGCCAAACUGGGACGUAGACCAGGCCCAGAAUCCUAAGGGAGGCAGGAGUGGGGAAUUUUGGACAAUGGGCGCAAGCCUGAUCCAGCCAUGCCGGGUGUCUGAAGAAGGCCCUCGGGUUGUAAAGGACUUUUGUCAGGGAAGCGGUACCUGAAGAAGAAGCACCGGCUAACGACGUGCCAGCAGCCGCGGUAAUUC
rnacentral:rRNA from 1 species